rnacentral:rRNA from 1 species
UUGUAACACCGCGACCCUUCUUUGCCCUUAACAUAAGGGAUAAGCCUGGGAAACUGGGUCUUUUCCCGGAUAUGACUCCUCAUCGCAUGGUGGGGGGUGGAAAGCUUUUGUGGUUUUGGAUGGACUCGCGGCCUAUCAGCUUGUUGGUGAGGUAAUGGCUCACCAAGGCGACGACGGGUACCCGGCCUGAGAGGGUGACCGGCCACACUGGGACUGAGACACGGCCCAACUCCUACGGGAGGCAGCAGUGGGGAAUAUUGCACAAUGGGCGGAAGCCUGAUGCAGCGACGCCGCGUGAGGGAUGACGGCCUUCGGGUUGUAAACCUCUUUCAGUAGGGAAGAAGCGAAAGUGACGGUACCUGCAGAAGAAGCGCCGGCUAACUACGUGGCCAGCAGCCGCGGUAAUACGUAGGGCGCAAGCGUUAUCCGGAAUUAUUGGGCGUAAAGAGCUCGUAGGCGGUUUGUCGCCUCUGCCCGUGAACUCCGGGGGCUCAACUCCCCGGAUCUGCGGGGGGACCCGGGCAAAAUAAAGGUGAUGUUACGGGAACAACUGGAAUUCCCUGGUGUAGCGGGAGAAAAUGCGCCAAUAUCGAGAGGAAACACCCAUGGGCAAAAGGCGGGCCCUCCGGGGAUUAAACUGACCGCUCAAGAGAACCAAACCCAUGGGGGACCCAAACCGGAUAAAUACCCCGGGAAACCCCUGCCGAAAAACUUGGACU